rnacentral:lncRNA from 1 species
GCAAAGGGAACCCCGCAGCGGCGAGUGCGGCUGCUGGCCUGCGCGCUGUGGCCCCAACAGGCUGGCAGGGCGCGGGCGGGUGGCGGGGUUGCGGUAUGAGCUUUGCUCCCUGCCCUGGGGUCCCGGGCGCUCCUGGCUCUGGAGGCCUGGCCAUCGGUCCGAAAAGCAAAGGGACAUUGUCGUGGUCCCCUCGGCCGCUUCGCUCCACCCAGAGACGCCCUGAGGAGAAGCGAGCCUUUGUACGAAGGCAGAGGGCUGACUCCUAAGUUCUGUCCCCCUCCCGAAGGCCGGCCGCUAGGGAAGACUUGGCCACCCUCUGGAAGUACCUUCCCCCGGGAAAACCGCAGCAGGAAAGACCAUGAAAUACUACUGUGUGUGAUCCGCUCCGUUUGGGGAGUAGGAUGAGGCAUCCCGCUUGGUUACCAGGCAGAAAGGGGCGAGUCGCGGGGAUGGGAAGACCCUGAUCUCUUGCCCAUUGCUGCGGCCGUCGGAGAUGCCCUCCCCCGCGGCCACGGAGGCGGUAACCUGAGCUGCUCCGCAGGACUGGAAACCGCACAACCUCGAAACCAGCUGCGCAGGAGAAGGGGAACCCCAUCCACCAUAAACAUCCCCUCUGCGAAGCCUCAGGAGCUGGAGGAGAUUUUAUUACCAUUUUUAUUAUCAAGAGCUUAAAAUUUCCCAGACAGUCUGUUUUCUCUCCCAGGCCCCCCAUGAGGUCCUUAAAAGCAAAGAUAUUUAAAAAGAACGAAAGAAAGAAAAAAACCAAAAAGCAAAUCCUUGGAAAUGCCUUAAAGGACUCUCCAGAGACACACUGCUCUUUGUAGGUGUUUAUUCCUAUGGGCCCACUGGACCAAACGCUAAAAAACGUGAAGACAUCAGACUGUGAGACUCAUAGAGCAGACACAAAAUGGAAAACUGGCCCAAAGCAGUUUGCUUCCUCAGAGUGGAGAGUUGUAUAUUUGAUGUUCCAAAAAUAUAUUUAUGCUUGCACAUAUAUUUUCUCAUUCUUUCUGGGGUCAGGUAUUUUUAUUUUACUGAGGAUGAAAUGAAAGUUCAAAGACAGAUGACUUGACUUGCCCAACAUCAUCUGAAGUUACUCCCUGAUAUAAAACUACUGGCCCUCUGUAGUUUUACUUUAUCUCUCGAUUCAGCAUAAUAAUAAUAACUAACAUUUAUUUAGUGGUACUAAGCUAUGAGCUUUGGGGCAAGCAAACACUGAGAUGGUCUCCAAUGAUCCCCAUUUCCUGGUGUUCAUUCCCCUGUAUAAUCUCUGCCCUGGGAGUGUGGACUGGCCUUGUGAUUUCUAACAAACAUAGUGUGGCAAGAGUGAUGAGAAGAAGGCUAAAUAAGAUUGUGGCUUCUUCCUUGUUAGUUGACUUUCCCUCUCAUUGAUUUUGAUGAAGCAAGCUGUUAUGUCGGGGAGGCCCACAUAGCAAGGAACUGAGGAGGGCAGCCUCUGGCCAACAGUCAGCAAGGAACUGAAUUCUGCCAACAACCAUGUCAGUGAGCUUGGAAACGGAUCCUUCCCCAGUUGGGUCUUGAGAUGGUAUCUCAGCGCUGGCUGACAUUUGAUUGCAGCCUUGCAAGAGACCCUGAAGCAGAGGACCCAGCUAAGCCAGCCACCCUGAAGUCUCACCUGAAGCUGAGACUUUAAUUCUCCAAUACAACAUCCUCACAGGUAAGUCCUUUUACCUACAGUAAAAGGUCAAUUUCUUGGUCAAUUUCAAGCCAACACCUUCUCAUCUUUAAGGCUUGAAUCAAAACCCUCCUCCUUCAGGAAUCUGGGAAGAGAAAAGAAUUCCCCACAUCUUUUGCAAAAAUCUCAUUAAUAAUCCACCCCAUUUAGCUUAUAAUCAAUAAAUAACCAUAAGUAUAAUCAGUCAAGCAGCCGACGCCACUGCUCUGCCUAUUCUUUUGUUUCUUUACUUAUCUAAUAAAGUCACUUUCACUUUACUUUGUAGACUCACUCCAAAUUCUUUCUUGCACCAGAUCCAGGAGCCCUCUCUUAGGGUCUGGAUCAGGAACUCUUUCCAGUAACACUACUGCCCCCUUUUGAGCUAUGUAUUCAUCCUUGAAACUGCUUGCUAUUGCCACAAGUAACUAUACAUUAACCUAAUAAUGUCACACUGGACACUAUCACUCAUAGCCUAUAGCUUAACAGUGCAUAGCCAAUCAGUGAGCAAUGUUGUUUCUGUAAACCAAUGUGAAUUCCUUACAAACAAUUUCAUAUCGGCCUACUCCCUGUCCCCCUUUUCUGCCUGUAAAAAACCUGCUUGUAAUAAAGGCGGCAUGAAGCUCAUAUCCAGGGUUACUUGGGUCUAAGUCUUCCGGGCAACUGUCCUCACUUUGGCUCAAGUAAAUGUUUUGUUAUAUUUUGUGCCUCUGUCUUUUCCUUUCAGGUGGACGAAGCUUUCCUGGAAUCCACAGUCUGAUUUAGAAGCCCUUUCUCCUUGCUUCCAUGUGCCCUGUGCUUGCCGUGAUCAUACCUCCUAUCACACAUCUCUCCCAUAAUCCUGAUCUCCACAUGCUUCCCUUACCACCACCACCACCACCACCACCACCACACCUGGAGGGCAGGGAUUUUGCCUUCUUCAGUGUCUGCCGCAAUGCCUGCCUGGCUCACUUGAAGUGUAAGAAAUGUUUGUUGAAUGAGUGAAGACAAGCAAGCCAGCCUGGGACUAGGACCCAUGUCUGCUGGCUCAGAAUGCAACAUUCUUUCCCCUACACCACCUUUCCUGCUAAUCUGACCUGACUCUUGUAAUCCUCUUUACCAGGCUGCCUAGCAACUCACCUACCACUGCUCUCCCAUUUUUGUCAUUCUUUCAUUCAUUCAUCCAUUCAACAACAAUUUCCUGAAAGUACACCAUGACAAACACAACUCUGCAAGAAAUAAAGGAGUACAAAAUGUGGCCCCUGACCUUAAAGAGCUCAUGAUCUGGUUGGGGAAACAGAGCAUAAGAGGAUGUCACUAGUUUUGAAUCUGAUGCAAUCUGAGUACAAAAAAAUAGUUCCAAUAGAGAAGAUGCUAAAACGAACAGUUUUGUUUUCCUGUCUGCAUAAAGUGGCUGAAUUCUCCCUGAAAUAGGAGGCUUUGGACAGCUGUGCUUAAGAGAACAUGCCUUUGAGCUUUUAUUCUGAUAUUAUUUUUAAAAGACGCUAUGGCACCAAGAGUGGUUUCUUCUUUAAAAUGUCAUUUUGUGUCUUGGGGAAAAAGAAAAAAAUCUGCCGUGGCUCUUUCACCAGUCAAAGUAAAUACUGAAGAAAUACUUUGCUUGUAUCCACAGCUCUCUUUGCAAGAGUAGAAUUUCCAUGACCUGCCAGACUGGCUGAAGAGGCAAAGGCCCCUUUCAGGCUGGGGGUUAUAGAGGACGUCUGUAGCAGUUUUUACCCUUCUUGGAUUGGAUCCUCAGGGUACAUCACAGCAUUGCUUGAAAAGUAAGAUUAUUUAGAUACAGGGCUUUUCAUCAAGCCAAGGAUGCUACCAGAUGCCUUGCCAAUAGACCUUAUCAAGAGUCUCCACAGUUACAUAUUUUUUGUGGUUAUAUUGUUGUUAUAAAUACCAAGACUUCAAGAAUGAUGAUACUUCCUGUUAUUUUAAUCAUGAGAAUGGAAGCAUAUUUGCUCCACAGUGUGGCAAAUGGAUGUUGGUAUUUAAGAGCAAGUUCUAUGUAUAGCACCGAUGGGUGUGUGUACAUGUUUGUAUUGGAGGUGGGCUUGGCAGGAAAUGUCCCAGUUCUUGUUGCACACAGUGAUUCUUUGCAUAAUUUUACUAUCCAUUAAAUUCCAGGGUGUGUGUGCUAGCAUGUAGAGAAAAUAGACUCGAACAAGUUAGUAUGUCUUCACAGACUCAGGCUUAAUUGAAAGUAGGUUAGGCCUAAGGAGAACCAUGAAGUGAGAAAGUAUUUAAAUUAAAAUGUGCAAUAUGAAAAGACUGUUCAAGCUUUUGAUAUGAAUCACUGCAGAUGCAAUUCUGCUGUGACAUUUUUAAGUAGAGAGAGGGUUGGUGUGGCAGACACUAUUGGAACCUCUCCCAACAGCCAUCCCCUCUUUUUUUUUUUUUUUUUUUUUUUUUUUUGGUUUUAGAAACCCCAUAUUGUUCAGGUAAAGGGUGCAAUAAGCCCGGGAAUGAUGGGUUGCUUCCUCAGCCCUGGCAGAUGCCCUAAGAUUGGUGGAAGCCAAUCAUGAUUAAGCCUUUCACCCUUAUAGUGAUACAGUCUCCUGUAACUUCAACCCUUCCCUCCCUGUUGGCCUCUUCCCCUCUGCCUCUAAAUCCCCUCUGCCCAGUCUUACCCAUAAAAAUAAAAAACAAAUUUCCCUACUUAUUUGUUGCCUUAGUUUUAUUUCUCUUACUUUCAAAAACUCUACUGGAAAGGAAUUUAUACUUCCUGCCUCCUUCUUUCCACUGCAAAAAUAAUCUUCCCAACCCCAUCACUGAACUGCUCAGGGAAAGACCAACAGCAAAAUCAUAUUACCAAACCCUAUAGGUAGUUUUUGUUUUUAUCUUACUGGGCCUUUUUGUUUCUGAUCCUACUGACCACUCAUUUCUAGAAAUUCUCUACUCCCUUGACUUUUCCAGCCAUUUUGUUGUAGUAUCUC